AGCUUUGCGCAGUGGCAGUAUCGUAGCCAAUGGGGUUUAUCCGAGGUGCAAUUAUUGCUAAUUAAAAAAAAUUAUUCAGACAUAGGGUUUCUCCUAGUGGUAGUCUAUGACAGAUGUCAAUUACUGUGAUAAGAUGCUUGUAAACAAG